GAAUAGCUCAGUCGGUAGAGCAUGAGACUCUUAAUCUCAGGGUUGUGAGCUGGAGCGUCAGGUUGGGCA